UGAUAUAUCUCCGGAUAGAGUGCACGAACAAGCAGUCUGGGUGUGCUGGGUGUCAAGUGGGUAUAGACAACAGCGUUAGGAGCACAAGUGACCGGGUGUACACCCAUUGAGCUCUCAAUUCCAAUUGGCUGAAGGCCUGGUGACAUCAUCCAAUUUAUCAACAACAGUUUCUUACGACUGAGGUGAGCUGUUGAGAGCGACACUCCAUUGUUGGUGCGUGGGACCGGUUGUAUGUUCAACCAAACCAAGAUGUGAGGAUCGAACCUGGACUCCAGUAAUACAGACAAGUAGGACCCUCUCCGAUUAACACAGACUUAUAACCGUCACAGCUUAUGCCGCUUUGAGUUUGGUUCCCGUGGCACGGCAUGGCGGAGAGACGGGGUGGAGGGUUGUGUCUGGUCCUGCAGGGAAAGAACGCCGUGUGAUUCAUGGAUGGGGCUCGCAGAACGAACUGUGUCCCUACUGUCAUAUUUGGGAAUUUCUACAGAGCUGGUUAAUCGAGUCAGUUUGUGUACAAGUGAUCAUUGUGACUGAAAGAUAUCUGUGGGAACGGUUUCCCUCAGCAUACAUUCCGAAACUUGAGUAGUUGAGGUGUUAAAAAAGAAAUGGUAGUUUGUCGGGGAAAUACUUUAAGCAUAAAUCGGUGUCUGUCCGUCACUCGUAAGCCUUAUAUACUUCUCUGGAUAAAUUAGAACACCGAUUCUUUCAUAUUGCUAUAGUAAAUCUGUCAUGCCAGAUAACGAAAGAAAUAUGAAAGAAUCGGGUGUUCUUUAACUUAUUUUGAGUAGCAUAUUUGCUCAUAUUCUUCUUCUUCAGUGUUGAGGGAAAUUGUUUCAAAUUAAAAUUAUUAUAUUUUUGCAAAGUGCUGUCCCAUCAGUCGUCACAUUUGCUUAUUAAUACUACAUGUACUAUGGGCCUGUGGUCUUUAAGUCGUUGGAUAAAGAUGGAUUGAUUGAUAAUCAGUACAAAGGGUUAGAAACACUGUAUCCCAUAACAAUGAUAAUACUGAAGCAAUGUGGCAUUUUACUGUUAUAUUAUAUGUAUUUAUAUUAAAUAAAACAUAUCCUGAUCAACUUUUGGUAAUAAUAUUAGCAAUACUUCUCACUGUUUAAAGCCUGUAUA